UACGGAGGGGGCCAGCGUUGUUCAGAAUUAUUGGGCGUAAAGGGCGCGUAGGCGGCCGAGCAAGUCUGACGUGAAAUCCCCCGGCCCAACCGGGGAACUGCGUUUGAAACUGCUUGGCUCGAGUCCGGGAGAGGGUAGCGGAAUUCCCAGUGUAGCGGUGAAAUGCGUAGAUAUUGGGAGGAACACCGGUGGCGAAGGCGGCUUACUGGACUGUAACUGACACUGAGGCUCGAAAGCGUGGGGAGCAAAC
rnacentral:rRNA from 1 species